AUGAGUUUUGAACGAAGUUGUUCUGGUCUUUCGGGGCAAGUGAACACUUCACUCAAUCCAUCUUACACCUGUGCACCUUUGGGAGAUGACUUUUUAGUAUUCAAGUUGGAUAACGACGGCGAUACUUUUAAGUCUCUUCUUAUUAUACCAAACAACAGUCUUAGAACGUCUUUUUUGCUUGAUGCAAAACAAAUA
rnacentral:misc_RNA from 1 species